UUGCAGAAUUCCCAUUCAGUUUCAUUUCUUCUUUCCCUUUCUCUCUCAUCUGAGAACGCGAUCUCUAUUCUUCUCCCAACCAAAGCAAGCGACCGAUCAUUACAUCCACCACCACACCACCGCUGGUGAGCCGCGACCACUCUCCUCCUUCUCCAUCCAUCACCGCUGCAUACUCCUCCAUCUUCUGUUUCGAUUCUUCAGUUUAGAGACAUCUCUCUCCACAACAAACCCUAAUUGUUGUAACUUAUUAUCAAGGUCUCACCAAGUCAUUCAAUCAUGGAAAGAUCUAUUGCUCCUCUGUUACAGCCAGACUUGUAAAUAUGAACAUAGGAAUUCCAUAUGAUAAAUUACAUAUUUUGCCUCUAAACCAAAAGAUUGAAAUAGCUGGUAUUAGCGUGACUUGUUUGGAUGCCAACCAUUGUCCAGGUUCCAUACUUAUACUCUUUGAACCUCCGAAUGGUAAGAGGAGUCUGAAACAGACAGUGAAGAGUCGGAUGUGAGUGGUUCUGAUGGAGAGGACACAUCUUGGAUCUCAUGGUUCUGCAAUCUCAGAGGAAAUGAGUUCUUUUGUGAGGUUGAUGAUGAUUACAUCCAAGAUGACUUCAACCUUUGUGGAUUGAGCAGCCAAGUGCCUUACUAUGAUUAUGCUCUUGAUUUGAUUUUGGAUGUUGAAUCCUCUCAUGGUGAGCUUUCCUUCAUAUUUUGUUGGAUUUAUUGUACAAGCACUACGCCAAUUUUGAGAUUUAGUAGCGCUAAUUUAAUAGCACUUGUAUGGUUAAGUAGCUUUUUCACAAUUUUAUUUUUAUUGAAUUUUAAUUAAAUCUGUUACCAGAAACUUUGUGAAGUUUUUUGGCUAAGUACUAAUGUGUGUUUGACUUCAGUCCGUCCAUACUGAAACAUAUGUAUUAUCUAUUAAGUUAACCUAUAUCUUCUCAUUAAAAGAAUUCAAUUUGAACUUGCAAAAAAAAAAAAAAAAAAGAAUUCAAUAUGAACUUGCAGAAGAAGCUGAUUUGUGAUAGAGAAAUUUGUAUAGGCUAUUAAACUUAAAACUAACGGAAAAGUAUAUAAAAGUGACACAUUAUUACAAUUCAUGAUAGAACUCAUAAGUGACAUUAGUCUAUCUUUUUUACAAGUGACACAUUAUCACAAUUCUUAAUGGAACUAAUAAAUGAAAACAAAAUAUAGAAAAAGUGAAAUGAAAAUAAUAUUUAUUAAGAAAGAAUUGUUAUGUCUAGUAGUACCUUAAGGCUUUAUAUAGCCAAUUAGACUAACGGUUGUUUUAACGAGUUUCGACGCAUUGUUUUUUUCAGUUUUAGGAGUUGUGUUAUUACCAGCUCGUUGUGGGUGUUUUUGGCUGGUUUUUUGUUAUCUUGAAGAUUUUUAGCUUUGGGUGUUUGGAGUUGUUCAGAGGUUUUUUUUCCUGUUUUAUGGUGUGGGCUGAUUUGGGUAUUGAUUUAGAUGGGAUUCAAUGGCUAUCAAGUAUGUCUAUAUGUGGGACUUAGCAUUGAAAAUGGCUAUCACAUGGCUUCUUUUACUCAAAAUGAAACUUACGUCAUGUAGUACAAAGUGAGGGAAGCUUUUGAUGGAAGCUUUUGGUAGGUUUUAGGUUGAGAAUAAUCUAAAUGAUUUUGUGUAACAAAAAUUUUCAUGUUGCUGUCUUGGGGAUUCUAGUGCCGUGUCAGCAUGGAGAUUGGCUCAGCAUGGUUUGUUGCUGUCUUGGGGAUUCUUUCGGUUCUGCUGUUUUCUAUUGUCCUUGUUAUUUUUUGUUGUCCUGGCCUGUUGUUGGUGUAUUGUUCCCUUGCCCUUUUAGGUACUACUUGUGUCGGGGCCUGUUGUUGGUUUGUUGUUUAGGCUGGCGCGGUCUGAAGACCUUCUGCAGCUGCUGGUAUGUUGUUACAAAAAAAAAAAACUAUGACUGUGUGAAGGUUUGAAUGCAUAAACUCUCACCUCAAUUUUCUUUAUUAUUUUGAUUUUGUCACUAAAAUUUGUGGGUGUUUGAGAUGUUUGAAUUGUUCAGUUAAUGUUAAUUUCUUGUUUCAUUUUUUUUUGUUUUCUAGAAGCUUUGAUAACACGUUAAUUGACAUUUAAGGGUCAAGCAACAUUUAAGAGUUUCCCUGAUAGCUCGGUAUGGUGGUGAUCACUUUUUGCUUGACACACUAAAGACCAUGUAUCCUUCAAGCGUUUCUUAAGCUUGGCAGUUAUCUCCAAGCUGAGGCAGAUUGUACAAAAGCAAUAAGUCUUGACAAAAAGAGUAUGAAGGCAUGCUUCCAUACAAGUACAACUAGAGAGAUGCUGGGCUACUACAAAGAAGCAAUUGAUGAUUUUAGAUAUGCCCUUGUACUUGAGCCAACCAACAAAAGGGCUGCUUCAGAUGCUGAAAGAUUGAGGAAUCUAAUACUCAAGAAGAGUUGAAGGAUUUGCAAGGAUUUUGAGUUAGGAGGGAGAUCAAGAUCAAAUUUUCCUAUAUUAUGAUAAUUACUUUAUUAUGUUAGUUUUUAGAUUGUACGAAUAUUAUUGAUAUAUUCAUGGUUUUGUACGAAAAUGAUUUAUGGAUUGUACGAAUAUUAUGAUGAUA